UGACUCUAGCCACUCAUUGGCUUUUUUACAGGAUCAAUCCCUCCAUGGAACAUAAGUGGUUUAAGUUUCUGAAAAUCCCUAACUCGUACCUCAUUUAUAACAGGCUCAGGUGGUGGAGGUGGUGGAGGAUUUUCAGGUGGAGGAGGUGGUGGUUGAUUCUGAUUCUGUAAGAGAGCUAAUAUCAGACCCACUUGUUGUUCUAGUCUCUCGAGCCGUUGAUUCGAUUCCAUGACUAGUAUUCUAAAUCAUAGAAGAAUACAAUUGUAACUAUUCAACAUAAAAAGGACAUUUCAUAUAUAUAUAGAAACAAGUUACACACUAGGAUCCACAUCACAGCUUAUGAUAUUUUACAUGUUGUGUUCAUCAUGUACAAUUUCUUCUUCAUCUUCUUCUUCUUCUUUUUUACAGAAAGGUUACACCACAUUUCCCACUAAUCCUCAUCCCUAGGCACAAAUAGUACUAUAGGUAACACUUCAUUCAAGGGUGGCUGCACCACUCCAUGUUCUUCCGCAUCAAUCCGAUUUAGUAUUGUUUGAACAAAAUCAUAGCUAUUAAGGAAUUGUGAGGCUUUUUCUCUUAUCAAAAUUUUCGUAUCCAGGCGAUGUUGAACUAUACUAAUAUGCAUUGACAGAGUGAAGUAAGGUUGUCGUUGCAUCAUCCGCACUAGCUCUCGAUACACGAGAUCCUGAGCGUCUCGUGGAGUGAGGUGGUUAUAUAACCUCAGAUUUGUUGGACGUGUGAUUGUUUGUCCCAUAUACGCAAAAUCCACUGUGUAUCCACCCCAUGUAUCCAUACGUCGGCGACCUGGGUGGUUAGCCAUUUCUUACAUCAACCAAUAAUAGCCAAAACUUAAGUUUAGAAAGGUGUUACUACGUUGUGUCAGCUGCCCGGGCACUUCCUUUUAAUGAAAA